AGCGUACACGGUGGAUGCCCUGGCAGUCAGAGGCGAUGAAGGACGUGCUAAUCUGCGAUAAGCGUCGGUAAGGUGAUAUGAACCGUUAUAACCGGCGAUUUCCGAAUGGGGAAACCCAGUGUGUUUCGACACACUAUCAUUAACUGAAUCCAUAGGUUAAUGAGGCGAACCGGGGGAACUGAAACAUCUAAGUACCCCGAGGAAAAGAAAUCAACCGAGAUUCCCCCAGUAGCGGCGAGCGAACGGGGAGCAGCCCAGAGCCUGAAUCAGUGUGUGUGUUAGUGGAAGCGUCUGGAAAGGCGCGCGAUACAGGGUGACAGCCCCGUACACAAAAAUGCACAUGCUGUGAGCUCGAUGAGUAGGGCGGGACACGUGGUAUCCUGUCUGAAUAUGGGGGGACCAUCCUCCAAGGCUAAAUACUCCUGACUGACCGAUAGUGAACCAGUACCGUGAGGGAAAGGCGAAAAGAACCCCGGCGAGGGGAGUGAAAAAGAACCUGAAACCGUGUACGUACAAGCAGUGGGAGCACGCUUAGGCGUGUGACUGCGUACCUUUUGUAUAAUGGGUCAGCGACUUAUAUUCUGUAGCAAGGUUAACCGAAUAGGGGAGCCGAAGGGAAACCGAGUCUUAACUGGGCGUUAAGUUGCAGGGUAUAGACCCGAAACCCGGUGAUCUAGCCAUGGGCAGGUUGAAGGUUGGGUAACACUAACUGGAGGACCGAACCGACUAAUGUUGAAAAAUUAGCGGAUGACUUGUGGCUGGGGGUGAAAGGCCAAUCAAACCGGGAGAUAGCUGGUUCUCCCCGAAAGCUAUUUAGGUAGCGCCUCGUGAAUUCAUCUCCGGGGGUAGAGCACUGUUUCGGCAAGGGGGUCAUCCCGACUUACCAACCCGAUGCAAACUGCGAAUACCGGAGAAUGUUAUCACGGGAGACACACGGCGGGUGCUAACGUCCGUCGUGAAGAGGGAAACAACCCAGACCGCCAGCUAAGGUCCCAAAGUCAUGGUUAAGUGGGAAACGAUGUGGGAAGGCCCAGACAGCCAGGAUGUUGGCUUAGAAGCAGCCAUCAUUUAAAGAAAGCGUAAUAGCUCACUGGUCGAGUCGGCCUGCGCGGAAGAUGUAACGGGGCUAAACCAUGCACCGAAGCUGCGGCAGCGACGCUUAUGCGUUGUUGGGUAGGGGAGCGUUCUGUAAGCCUGUGAAGGUGUGCUGUGAGGCAUGCUGGAGGUAUCAGAAGUGCGAAUGCUGACAUAAGUAACGAUAAAGCGGGUGAAAAGCCCGCUCGCCGGAAGACCAAGGGUUCCUGUCCAACGUUAAUCGGGGCAGGGUGAGUCGACCCCUAAGGCGAGGCCGAAAGGCGUAGUCGAUGGGAAACAGGUUAAUAUUCCUGUACUUGGUGUUACUGCGAAGGGGGGACGGAGAAGGCUAUGUUGGCCGGGCGACGGUUGUCCCGGUUUAAGCGUGUAGGCUGGUUUUCCAGGCAAAUCCGGAAAAUCAAGGCUGAGGCGUGAUGACGAGGCACUACGGUGCUGAAGCAACAAAUGCCCUGCUUCCAGGAAAAGCCUCUAAGCAUCAGGUAACAUCAAAUCGUACCCCAAACCGACACAGGUGGUCAGGUAGAGAAUACCAAGGCGCUUGAGAGAACUCGGGUGAAGGAACUAGGCAAAAUGGUGCCGUAACUUCGGGAGAAGGCACGCUGAUAUGUAGGUGAAGUCCCUUGCGGAUGGAGCUGAAAUCAGUCGAAGAUACCAGCUGGCUGCAACUGUUUAUUAAAAACACAGCACUGUGCAAACACGAAAGUGGACGUAUACGGUGUGACGCCUGCCCGGUGCCGGAAGGUUAAUUGAUGGGGUUAGCGCAAGCGAAGCUCUUGAUCGAAGCCCCGGUAAACGGCGGCCGUAACUAUAACGGUCCUAAGGUAGCGAAAUUCCUUGUCGGGUAAGUUCCGACCUGCACGAAUGGCGUAAUGAUGGCCAGGCUGUCUCCACCCGAGACUCAGUGAAAUUGAACUCGCUGUGAAGAUGCAGUGUACCCGCGGCAAGACGGAAAGACCCCGUGAACCUUUACUAUAGCUUGACACUGAACAUUGAGCCUUGAUGUGUAGGAUAGGUGGGAGGCUUAGAAGUGUGGACGCCAGUCUGCAUGGAGCCGACCUUGAAAUACCACCCUUUAAUGUUUGAUGUUCUAACGUUGACCCGUAAUCCGGGUUGCGGACAGUGUCUGGUGGGUAGUUUGACUGGGGCGGUCUCCUCCUAAAGAGUAACGGAGGAGCACGAAGGUUGGCUAAUCCUGGUCGGACAUCAGGAGGUUAGUGCAAUGGCAUAAGCCAGCUUGACUGCGAGCGUGACGGCGCGAGCAGGUGCGAAAGCAGGUCAUAGUGAUCCGGUGGUUCUGAAUGGAAGGGCCAUCGCUCAACGGAUAAAAGGUACUCCGGGGAUAACAGGCUGAUACCGCCCAAGAGUUCAUAUCGACGGCGGUGUUUGGCACCUCGAUGUCGGCUCAUCACAUCCUGGGGCUGAAGUAGGUCCCAAGGGUAUGGCUGUUCGCCAUUUAAAGUGGUACGCGAGCUGGGUUUAGAACGUCGUGAGACAGUUCGGUCCCUAUCUGCCGUGGGCGCUGGAGAACUGAGGGGGGCUGCUCCUAGUACGAGAGGACCGGAGUGGACGCAUCACUGGUGUUCGGGUUGUCAUGCCAAUGGCACUGCCCGGUAGCUAAAUGCGGAAGAGAUAAGUGCUGAAAGCAUCUAAGCACGAAACUUGCCCCGAGAUGAGUUCU
rnacentral:rRNA from 1 species